rnacentral:rRNA from 1 species
AGAGGGUGCGAGCGUUAAUCGGAAUUACUGGGCGUAAAGCGCACGUAGGCGGUUAAAUCAGUUGGCUGUGAAAGCCCCGGGCUCAACCUGGGAAGGCCAGCCAAAACUAUUUAACUAGAGUACAGUAGAGGGAAGCGGAAUUUCCGGUGUAGCGGUGAAAUGCAUAGAUAUCGGAAGGAACACCAGUGGCGAAGGCGGCUUCCUGGCCUGAUACUGACGCUGAGGAGCGAAAGCGUGGGGAGCGAACAGGAUUAGAUACCCUGGUAGUCCACGCUGUAAACGAUGAGAACUAGCCCGUUGGGGACUAUAAGUCUUUAGUGGCGAAGCUAACGCGAUAAGUUCUCCGCCUGGGGGAGUACGGCCGCAAGGUUA